UUACCUCAAAGCUUCAAAAUCUCUAGUUGUGGCUUCACUCUCCCCUCUAGCUUGCAAUCCCUAGCUUUCCUCUUCCCCAAGUUCUUCCUCUUCUCUUCUUCUCUCUAUCUCUCUACUUUCUCUCUCUAGCCACUCUAAAGUUAUGAGAAAUUGAAUGAAUGGAAAACCCUAGUUUUCUCUUAAGAGUUAUCUAUUUAUACCACCAAAAUGGGAAAGGUUAAUUCUCAUUCUAAUUGGGUCUCAAAACCCUUGUCAC
rnacentral:lncRNA from 1 species